rnacentral:rRNA from 1 species
UACGUAGGGACCGAGCGUUGUCCGGAAUCAUUGGGCGUAAAGAGCGUGUAGGCGGCUUGCUAAGUCUUGCGUGAAAUCUCGGGGCUCAACCCCGAGCGGUCGUGGGAAACUGGCAGGCUAGAGUGCGGGAGAGGAGAAUGGAAUUCCUGGUGUAGCGGUGAAAUGCGCAGAUAUCAGGAAGAACACCCGUGGCGAAGGCGGCUCUCUGGGACGGUACUGACGCUGAGACGCGAAAGCGUGGGGAGCGAACAGG